rnacentral:rRNA from 1 species
UACGUAGGGUGCAAGCGUUGUCCGGAAUUAUUGGGCGUAAAGAGCUCGUAGGCGGUCUGUUGCGUCGGCUGUGAAAACCCGGGGCUCAACCCCGGGCCUGCAGCCGAUACGGGCGGGCUAGAGUUCGGUAGGGGAGACUGGAAUUCCUGGUGUAGCGGUGAAAUGCGCAGAUAUCAGGAGGAACACCGGUGGCGAAGGCGGGUCUCUGGGCCGAUACUGACGCUGAGGAGCGAAAGCGUGGGGAGCGAACAGG